rnacentral:rRNA from 1 species
AUUGAACGCUGGCGGCAUGCCUUACACAUGCAAGUCGAACGGCAGCAUGGAGAGCUUGCUCUCUGAUGGCGAGUGGCGAACGGGUGAGUAAAGCAUCGGAACGUACCGUGUAGUGGGGGAUAACGUAGCGAAAGUUACGCUAAUACCGCAUACGCACUGAGGUGGAAAGCAGGGGAUCGUAAGACCUUGCGCUAUACGAGCGGCCGAUGUCAGAUUAGCUAGUUGGUAGGGUAAAGGCCUACCAAGGCGACGAUCUGUAGCGGGUCUGAGAGGAGGAUCCGCCACACUGGGACUGAGACACGGCCCAGACUCCUACGGGAGGCAGCAGUGGGGAAUUUUGGACAAUGGGGGCAACCCCGAUCCAGCCAUGCCGCGUGAGUGAAGAAGGCCUUCGGGUUGUAAAGCUCUUUCGGCCGGGAAGAAAUCGCACAGGCUAAUACCCUGUGUGGAUGACGGUACCGGCAUAAGAAGCACCGGCUAACUACGUGCCAGCAGCCGCGGUAA